GAACUCAUUACUGAUACUGAGCCAAUAUAUUUAUUCCAAAGUAUUUACUUAGCACAUUGCGUUUUUCACUUGUCUCAAUUGUGCUUGAGAUUUGGGAGGUUAAAGUAGAUGAUAGCUCUCACUUCCUCAUCUACUUGGGCCAGGAUGCAUGUCAAAGGGAUGCUUAGCCUCAGUAAACUAGUGAUUCAAGAAGUUGGGUUUUUCCAAGCACAGGAACAGCGGUUUUUCAGCCACCUAGUCUGAGCUAUCUUCCCUGCUAUCCACUUACCAUUGCUGUGGGCCAGUGGUUCUCAACCUACUUACCAUUGUGGGUUGCAUAUGCAGUCCACGUGUUACGUGGGCUACAUCCAAUACUACCUGUAUGGCCCUGAGGAUGUCACAUGGACUGCAGCUCUGUACUCACUGGGCCACAAGUUGAGAACCACUGGGGCAAACAGUCAGUGACAUCAUAGUCACCUGCCUCCUUCAGGACUUCAGUGCUAUCCUACAAUCACCCACCAGGCUUCCCCCCCCCCCACUUCCAAAAAGGGUUUUUACAAUCUAUAUCCUCUUCCUUGGAGGUUAAGAGCAUCUACUCUGCAAUAUUUACAGCACACCCACUUGGAGGAAUGAGCCCUAGUCAUUCCAGACCUGGGUCACAUGAACAAGUAGUGUGCUGAGCUAGCAACAAAACCAUGGUGAAAGCUCAAAGUAUUUUUCAUCAAGAUUAUAGUCUCCAGUUACUAAACAUGCCCAAUUAAGUUGUUCUAGUUUGUUGUUUUUUUUAAGCAUUUUACUGAAUUUCUUUUUAUUUUCACACCAUACAUAUCCCAGCAAAAGAAAGAACAUUAAAGAACUGCCCAUCAAACUUAAGAAUGCAGACUAUUCAUGACAAGUUCAAGAAGUAGAAACAUCUGAAGGAGAAUCCGAACUGGCAAGAGAAGUUACAA